rnacentral:rRNA from 1 species
GACAGAGGGUGCAAACGUUGCUCGGAAUUACUGGGCGUAAAGCGCGUGUAGGCGGGCUGAUAAGUCGGACGUGAAAUCCCUGGGCUCAGCCCAGGAACUGCAUCCGAAACUGUCAGUCUGGAGUGGUGGAGAGGGAAGCAGAAUUCCUGGUGUAGAGGUGAAAUUCGUAGAUAUCAGGAGGAACACCGGUGGCGAAGGCGGCUUCCUGGACACUAACUGACGCUGAGACGCGAAAGCGUGGGGAGCAAACAGG